CUAGUAUCAAUGUAAAACGAUAGAAGCUAUAGUUUUUAUACGAAGUUCAUUUUUUUUUAAACACUAGUUAUAUUCAUUAUAAUCCAGUUACACAAGCCGGAGAUUCCACGAAUUCCGGUAGAAACAGAGGCCAACGAACCAAAAGUUCUCAGAAACAGAAGCCGACGAACCAAACAAAGAUUCUCGGAAACAGAAGCCCACACAAGGGAAACAAGGAUUAAAAAAGAUACAAAACAUAGAACUAAGCUAAUUGAUCUGAACUAGAAGGCAAGAGUGACAGAUUAAAGAAACCUUUACAAAACACAGAAUAAGAUAGUAUGCAGAUUUGAUAGAGCUUCUUUGAAAACGAGACAAGGCGAGGAAGUCAUCUAUGACUAUAAACCUCCAGCUUGUGACUCCUCCUAUGAUGAAUAGCCCAGACGAAUUAGAGAACAAAGCUUCAUAUCCAGGAGACAGAGCAAUUUCAAUUCAUAAGUCUUCAACCGGAAAGACGAUGGCGGAGAAGAUACCACGAAACGCCAUAACUGAAGCCAUAUGGAAGGGAAGAUCUCGAUCAAAUCUUAAAGUUGAUGACAAGGAGCGAGACAAACUCACAUACCGGUACAAACUAUCCCGAUAGAUCAAGAUAGCUUAAGAUCGAGCCCAAAUAUGAGCCAAAGAGAGCUCAAAAUCGACAUGCAAACUCAUUCAAAUCAACACAAGGUUUCAAACAAAAUCCAAUCUGAAAGGAGAAGAACACAAACCACUCUGCCUAGAAAGAUCGAUAAUACAAAACAAGAUCGACUCCGACUCUAUGGAAACAGCCGGAGUCGGUGAAACGGUGGAAUCAGUAGAAGGAAACCAAGAGAGAAGGCAGAGGAAUAAAAGAGAGAGAAAUAUACGAAGUUCAUUAAAUUACUUAAAAUCUGAUUAAAAAUAAAUGCUGUAAAUAUAUUAUAAAUAUUGAAAAAGAUUUUUUUAAUCCAGUCAGUUUUUG
rnacentral:lncRNA from 1 species